GAUAUUGGAAUCAACCUGACAGAUCCUAUGUUCAGAGGAAUUUAUAGGGGCGUGCAGAAGCAUCAAGAUGACUUACAAGAUGUAAUAGGGAGAGCUGUCCAGAUUGGUGUUAAAAAGCUCUCUGAAAACUGAAGCUAAUUUGGAAGUUCUGAAGUCAAUACCCAGUGAAAAACUAAUGAUUGAGACAGAUGCACCUUGGUGUGGAGUUAAAAGUACACAUGCUGGAUCAAAAUAUAUAAAAACUGCAUUUCCUACCAAAAAGAAGUGGGAAGCCGGGUGCUGUUUAAAAGACAGGAACGAGCCCUGCCACAUAGUUCAAAUAUUGGAGAUAAUGUCAGCAGUAAGAGAAGAAGAUCCACUGGAAUUAGCCAACACGCUAUAUAACAACACCAUUAAAAUAUUCUUUUCCUG
rnacentral:lncRNA from 1 species